rnacentral:rRNA from 1 species
AGAGUUUGAUCCUGGCUCAGGACGAACGCUGGCGGCGCGCUUAAUGCAUGCAAGUCGAACGGUUCUUCCCGCAAGGGAAGGAUAGUGGCGAACGGCUGAGUAAUGCGUAAGUAACCUACCCCUGGGUGGGGAAUAAUCCACCGAAAGGUGGACUAAUACCGCAUAUGGUGUCCUGUCACAAGACAGGCCAGCAAAGGUUUCUCGCAAGAGGGGCCGCCUGGGGAUGGGCUUGCGUCCUAUCAGGUAGUUGGUAGGGUAACGGCCUACCAAGCCGAUGACGGGUAGCUGGUCUGAGAGGACGACCAGCCAGAGGGGGACUGCGACACGGCCCCCACUCCUACGGGAGGCAGCAGCAGGGAAUCUUGCGCAAUGGGCGAAAGCCUGACGCAGCGACGCCGCGUGGGGGAAGAAGGCCUUCGGGUUGUAAACCCCUUUUCUGGGGGAAGAGAAAGGACGGUACCCCAGGAAUAAGCCUCGGCUAACUACGUGCCAGCAGCCGCGGUAAUACGUAGGAGGCGAGCGUUGUCCGGAUUUACUGGGCGUAAAGGGCGUGUAGGCGGUYCGGAAAGUCUUUGGUGAAAUCUCCCGGCUCAACCGGGAGGGGUCCAGGGAUACUUCUGGACUAGAGGGCAGUAGAGGAGAGUGGAAUUCCCGGUGUAGUGGUGAAAUGCGUAGAUAUCGGGAGGAACACCUGUGGCGAAAGCGGCUCUCUGGGCUGUACCUGACGCUGAGGCGCGAAAGCGUGGGUAGCAAACCGGAUUAGAUACCCUGGUAGUCC